GAUGAACGCUGGCGGCGCGCCUAACACAUGCAAGUCGAACGGCACCCCUCUCCGGAGGGAAGCGAGUGGCGAACGGCUGAGUAACACGUGGAGAACCUGCCCCCUCCCCCGGGAUAGCCGCCCGAAAGGACGGGUAAUACCGGAUACCCCGGGGUGCCGCAUGGCAUCCCGGCUAAAGCCCCGACGGGAGGGGAUGGCUCCGCGGCCCAUCAGGUAGACGGCGGGGUGACGGCCCACCGUGCCGACAACGGGUAGCCGGGUUGAGAGACCGACCGGCCAGAUUGGGACUGAGACACGGCCCAGACUCCUACGGGAGGCAGCAGUGGGGAAUCUUGCGCAAUGGGGGGAACCCUGACGCAGCGACGCCGCGUGCGGGACGGAGGCCUUCGGGUCGUAAACCGCUUUCAGCAGGGAAGAGUCAAGACU
rnacentral:rRNA from 1 species